CUGAUUCCAGUAUCAAGGUGACAUUUCAAUCACGCCUGAUCAACAGAAAAUGCAUGUACAAAAUGUUGUAAGGGCAGUGCAAAUGCGGGAGAUUGUGAAUGUCUUUUUUCGAUAAGUCAUGCAUCUUGCUUCGGCUCAAGGCAUCGAUCGCGCCAACUUUUUUUUUUAGAAAAGGGUAGGAUUUUUAUUACUACAAUACUUUUACAUCCAAACCCCUCAUGCCGAGGUACCCCUGAAAGAAAAGAAAAUUACAUUGACACCCUUUUGAGGUCCUCAGGAUCAUCUUUGUCGUCACUUGUUGGAGCCACCUCUGCUUGGUGCUCUGCCUCGGCACUGAAUGGAAAAGAAGAACACCAAGGAAGAAGCUUGAAGCCAACACCCGUGCAGACGAAGAAACUUCAAGGUUUUGAAUCACAAUCAGUGACAUACCAAAACUAGGAGACCCCAAUUGACGGAGAACUAAGAACAAAAAGGGAAUUUGGAGACACGAACCCGAUCUCACGAGUUCAUGGCACACAUACCUAACGAGCCUAUCGCCGGAUCAAACGCCGUCGCCGCCACCGAAGCUAGCUCGAAGGGACAAAAUCGGCGGUGGAGACCUCACCGCCGCCAACGUACACCAAACCGCAACCAGCAUGCCUCUUCGGAAGCAAGAAUCCUACCCUAAACUAACCUAAGGAAAUAGGUAGUAGUAUGGAGUAUGGACAACCGCACCCGUCCUCAACCGGACCCCUCACCUCCCAACGCCGAAAACACCGUCGAAAGGAAGAAAUUCGGCCAGGAGCACGGCGGAAUUGCAAAUCGCCAACGAGUUGCCUCUACGAUCUACUGUGGGAAAGAAGACUCCGAAAGCGAGUUGUCUCAUCUAUCGCGCCAACUAGAACAACUUUUGAAGUCGCACGGCUCUCAACAAAAUGAAGUGGACAUCACGAUCUGCUUUGUUUCAUGAUCUAUCGCGCCCAAUGGAGAUCGGAGAGACUCAAUAAGUGUUUGGAUCCUUGAGCUAA
rnacentral:lncRNA from 1 species